AUCUGGAGACCACAAAGAGCAGCAUUCGGGAGACACUGAGACGGUGAACACAGAGCACAGCCUCACCUCCAGCUCACCCUCAGUUCCUGGACUUUUCCACAGGAUGAAGCCCAAGAUCCUGAAUAUGACCUCCCAGGCCCCAACAGAUGCUGAAGGUGGCCUCCCAGGCCCCAGCAGAUCCUGAAGAUGGCCUCCCAGGCCCCAGCAGAUGCUGAAGAUGGCCUCCCAGGCCCCAACAGAUGCUGAAGAUGGCCUCCCAGGCCCCAGCAGAUGCUGAAGAUGGCCUCCCAGGCCCCAGCAGAUGCUGAAGAUGGCCUCCCAGGCCCCAGCACCCUUUCCUGCCUCCCCACUUUGCAUCCCUCCCUCUGGUGACACUGGGCCAUUCACAGCACAUACCAUACUCGUCCUCCUUCUGGGCCUUGGAGCUGCCUGGAAUGCCCUUUGCCUCCUGCCCUCACCAGCGGAGUCCUCCCAUUCUCACUGCUCCACUCAAGCUGGGAAGCCCCCCAAACACUCAGGCUGGACUGAGGUGCUCUGCAUUCCCACAGCACUCUGUGCAUGCUGCCCUUGUACUCCACAAGGUACUGGAAUGAUCUGCUUGAGGGUCUCUUUCUUCCCAUUCCUUAAGGCAGCCACUACGCUUUUUCUUGCCGCACAGUGCCCUGAAUGUGGCCACAAGGCACGCACUAACUGCUUAUUAAGCUUAAAUCACCUGCAUAUCUGCUUCUAACAAUGUUUUCAAUAGCUGAUAGUUAGUUUAUAGGAAGAGAGAGAAUAAUGGAUUCCAACCAGG
rnacentral:lncRNA from 1 species